GCCCCCGUGGUUCGAAAAACGCCCACGUUAAAAAACUAGGGAAGA
rnacentral:ncRNA from 1 species